rnacentral:rRNA from 1 species
GAUGAACGCUGGCGGCGUGCCUAAUACAUGCAAGUCGAGCGAACAGAUGAGGAGCUUGCUCCUCUGACGUUAGCGGCGGACGGGUGAGUAACACGUGGAUAACCUACCUAUAAGACUGGGAUAACUUCGGGAAACCGGAGCUAAUACCGGAUAAUAUAUUGAACCGCAUGGUUCAAUAGUGAAAGACGGUUUUGCUGUCACUUAUAGAUGGAUCCGCGCCGCAUUAGCUAGUUGGUAAGGUAACGGCUUACCAAGGCAACGAUGCGUAGCCGACCUGAGAGGGUGAUCGGCCACACUGGAACUGAGACACGGUCCAGACUCCUACGGGAGGCAGCAGUAGGGAAUCUUCCGCAAGGGGCGAAAGCCUGACGGAGCAACGCCGCGUGAGUGAUGAAGGUCUUCGGAUCGUAAAACUCUGUUAUUAGGGAAGAACAAAUGUGUAAGUAACUAUGCACGUCUUGACGGUACCUAAUCAGAAAGCCACAGCUAACUACGUG